AUUGGGGAAAAAAAUAACCAUUUUGGCUGUAAACCAUUUUGUCCUAAUUUUCCCUAUAAACCAAAGUUUCAUUCCCUCAUAUUCUAAUCUGCAAAAAGAUUAGCUUUUACUUUCCUCCUUCCUUUUUACGUGAGAAAAUCUUAGCUGGUUCAGUUUCAAAUUUUCAAAUUUGAAACUUGAGGAGCCGUGUUUCAGUCUGCACUGUAAUGCUUCUGAGUAAGAUUCUCUGGCUAUAUCCAUCAGAGCUUUGAGCAUUUGGGAGUUUGUUUGUAGCUAAAAGAAGCAUGGAAGGCACUAAGGGUGAAGAAGGAUCCAUUACAGUAGGAACCACUGGAACAAUCAGCUUAUUGAUGACAAAGGAAUUGGAUCAGAUGUCUGGUGUUCCACAGCAGGAUCUAUCUUCAACAAGUAAACCUCGAAUUUCAGUUUCAAGUGGUAGUGCUACGCCGAAACGACCACAACCAAGAAAAUCAUUUGAAGCUAGUAGUAGUAGUAGUAGUAAUGUUACAAACCAGAUAAGCUCAGGGAUUGGCCCUAAAACAAAACAUAAUGGCAAACAUACCCAUCAAAUACCCAUGCUUGGUUCCCACACCCUUCCAUUGGAAGCAAGUCCAGUUAUGAAGAAAAAGGAUAAGAAGAAAAAAUCUAAAUUUGUGGAGGUUGUAGACAUCAAGUGUGGUUAUGCAGAUAAAGCUUGGGCUACACCUAUCACAAAUUCUCUCAAGAAGUUGGGUUUCUCAAAGCUCUCUGAGAGCAUUACCUAAAACUGGAACUGUAUGUCAGACUUCAGGUUCUUGUAGCUGAAAGCAGAAAUUACAUUUGGCUUACUGUUGUCUAUUACAUCGACCAUAGAACACAUGCUUGGCAAGAGCUUGCUACUUCCUCGCUUUUUCUUUCUUGUUUCUACUCUGGAUACAGUUGAGGGUCUGGAAUCAGUGCUAACUGAGGAACCCAUGUUGAUGGUUUGAGAUUUGUUGUUCUGUGACCAGCCAUUGGAGUUUAGUUCAAGCCGGCUAAAGUACUCAAUUUCUUGCAUUAGAAGGGACCCAACUGUGCCUCUGGUGCCUAUUUCUACAGGUGGAAAUUCAGCCAUUUCUUUUAUGUGUUGCUUCUGGCAAGGAUGGUGGGUGUCUGUAUGCUUUAUGUUGUUGGUGUCAAGGAGAAAGAAAAAAUGGGAUUGAAGAGGAGUGGUUUGUUGUAUGUUUGAUGAACUUUUCCACAAGCUGAGGCAUUUUCUUUAGUUUCACAGAAGCUCUCCACUCCACCAUGUACUAUUUAUAUGAAGUGCAUGCCAUGUAUUAUGUUUAUGGUUGUAGAAUUAGUUGUUGACAUGACAUUGUCAUUCCAUUCAUGUGUGUGCAGGAAAAAGUAUUAUCCUUGUAACUUUAUGUUUAAUUAUGUCUAGCAACAUCCCAAUAACAAGCUCAUUAUUUGAGACUAUGGUCAGUGUAAUUUGGAACAGAUUAAUUCAUGUGACAGAAGAAAUUGGACCAUCACUUUCUUUGA